rnacentral:sRNA from 1 species
CCCAGAGGUAUUGAUAGGUGAAGUCAACUUUCGGGUUGAGCACACGCAUUACACCAACCUGCGCCAGUUGCGCAGGUUUUUUUU